AGCGAACGCUGGCGGCAGGCCUAACACAUGCAAGUCGAACGAACCUUUCGGGGUUAGUGGCGGAUGGGUGAGUAACACGUGGGAACGUGCCUUUAGGUUCGGAAUAACUCAGGGAAACUUGUUCUAAUACCGAAUGUGCCCUCCGGGGGAAAGAUUUAUCGCCUUUAGAGCGGCCCGCGUCUGAUUAGCUAGUUGGUUGAGGUAAUGGCUCACCAAGGCGACGAUCAGUAGCUGGUCUGAGAGGAUGAUCAGCCACAUUGGGACUGAGACACGGACCAAACUCAUACGGGAGGCAGCAGUGGGGAAUCUUGCGCAAUGGGCGAAAGCCUGACGGAGCCAUGCCGCGUGAAUGAUGAAGGUCUUAGGAUUGUAAAAUUCUUUCACCGGGGACGAUAAUGACGGUACCCGGAGAAGAAGCCCCGGCUAACUUCGUG
rnacentral:rRNA from 1 species